rnacentral:rRNA from 1 species
CUAGAAUUUUGCUAUAGUUCAGUUCUAUGGGUUCAGUAAGUACCUACAUGGGCGUUAUUGCAACUUUUAUUUAGCUACCCAGGGGAUAAUAUUGUACAAUUAUGGGCACAUAAAUACAGCUCUCUGAAUUGAACUUCUCACUCCCAUUUUUUACCUUGCGGUUCAAAUAUCUAGAGGCCAAAUAAAGUGCCAGCAGCCGCGGUCAGACUUUACCUUAGUCAUAGAAAAUAUCAGAGGACGGAUAGCAGUAUGUCAUAAUAUAUAUAUAUUAAUCACAGGUUUAUAAAUACGACCAGUGAAAUGGCGUACCCUUGUUUUCAUUUCUCUGUGUAAUAAUAAUUAAACUUAGCUAUUUUAACCUCCUAAAACAAACCAGGAUUAGAUACCCUGUUAUGAGGAGUCAGACUAUUUACAAUCUCUUAGUAAUACAAUCUUUAAAUUUAAACUAAAACAGCAUGGCGGUAAAAGUUAACCCUCAGGGGAACUUACACAAUAAAUGAUAAUCCCCAAGCUAUUCCUACCUUUAUUUAAAGUUUGUAUGCCGUCGUCUUCUGGUCUUUUUUUAUCAAAAGGCCAAGAGCCAUUUGUUGGUAUUACUAUUACCUCUAAAUGGAGAAAGUCAGAUCAAGGUGCAGCCUAUAUAGAGGUUGUAUGUGAGUUACACUUAAUAUUCACUAAAUUUGAACGCUAUCAUUAAAUCAUGAAGCAGAAAUUGGACUUGAAAGUAAAUACUAAAUAGACUUUAAUUUUUGAAUACAUUUUUAACUUUUGUGCACAAAUCGCCCGUCACUCUCAUGGACAACACGAGAUAAGUCGUAACAUAGUAGGGGUAAGGGAACUUGCCCCUCACUCAUA